UACGUAGGGGGCAAGCGUUGUCCGGAUUUAUUGGGCGUAAAGAGCGUGUAGGCGGCCAGACAGGUCUGCUGUGAAAACUCGAGGCUCAACCUCGAGAUGUCGGCGGAAACCUUCUGGCUAGAGUCCGGAAGAGGAGAGUGGAAUUCCCGGUGUAGCGGUGAAAUGCGCAGAUAUCAGGAAGAACACCUAUGGCGAAGGCAGCUCUCUGGGACGGUACUGACGCUGAGACGCGAAAGCGUGGGGAGCGAACAGG
rnacentral:rRNA from 1 species